CGAAGAGCAAUAAAUUCGAAAUUUUAUGCUUACUGUAGUAGUUGAAGAAGAAAUUAUAUAUUUGCAAACCCGUAAUGCAUCCUCUUCCGAUCAAUUAAAUUCAAUCACAUUUCUUCCCUCAAUUUCAUUCGAUUGUUGGCAAAGUUUUUACUUUUCAGCACAGUUUCCAGUAUUCUUGAAAUUUUCAUCAGAAUUCGACGGCAAAUGCUAAGAAGAUCCAGAAAAAUCUCAUCGUAUACAAGCUCCAUCUUUACCAAACCACUGAAAAUCCAUGGAAUUUCAUCUAGGUUUUCAAUUAGUUUUUGACAUAUGAUUAAACUAAAAACUACGAUAUCGCCAUUGUUAUGGGAGCUGCAGAGAGGAAGAAGUGGCUAUUUGCACUAUUCUCCGCUUUGUUAGUCUCUCUCCUCCUCUUCCUCACAGCUAUCUCAGGACUCAACGCCUCAUAUGCUUUCACUUCCUGGAGCAACAGGCCCACAGCACUCCCGAACCGUGGACCGCAGUUUCCACCGUCCUUCGCUUGCUACCUUUACGGCGGACCGGGAGAUAAGGAGCAAAUUUUCCGGCUAUUGCUGGCCGUCUACCACCCACGGAAUUGGUAUUUGUUGCACCUCUCAGCCGAGGCAUCGUUGUUGCGCUGAGGUCGGGGCCGGCGAUUCAGGCUUUCGAGAAUGUGGAAGUGAUUGGGAAACCUAUUUGAGGUAAAUGCCCAAGUUUUUAUUAUGAUAGGAACUUGAAUCAGAUGGUGAAGUUCCUGACGUGCACUUGGAACAGUCACUGGAGUUCAUGAGCUGGAAGUUGUAUCUGUUCCAGUUUGAAGUCACAAGAGGAGCAACACAGUUACAUAUCAAGAGUUCCAAAUACUCACAAGAACUAUUACAGACUCAUGGCCACGAGUUCCUUUGAUAGACAGAGAGGAACUCGUCAUUGUUCCUGAGCUGGAACGUAUGAAGCUUCUGAGUUGCAAGUUCCAGACAAAAGGAAGACAUAAAAGUCUAGGUAGUCUACUGUACUUGGAAUUUUAUGUAAAUAUUAAUUUUGCAAAAGAUAUAUAGGGUACUCAAGGAACUUGUGAUUUAAUUAGGUCAUUUAUUUUACUGGAGCAAAUUUUUAUGAAAACAUGUAAUUAAAUAAAAAUAAGUUUUUAAUAUAAAAUAGAUUUACGUUUUAUGUUA